AAAAUUUUCAAGAUUUUGUAUAGAUUAUGCAUGGAAAACCCAAUUUUCCGCCAUAAAACGCAAACCACACCAUAGAAUUUUGAGAUAAAAUAUGAGAAGAUAGCUCCAAUAUUAUGCUUUCAGAUAAGAAAAAGAAAAAAUGGGGUCACCAGACUCGUUUUCUUGCUACAUGUAAAAAUGGGUAAAUUCCUAACACAUUCUAUUCUAAAAGUAACACUAUCUGAAUUAUCUGCCCUUGCAUUUGAGUUGCCUCCCC
rnacentral:lncRNA from 1 species